rnacentral:rRNA from 1 species
CCUACGGGGGGCAGCAGUAAGGAAUAUUGGUCAAUGGGCGGAAGCCUGAACCAGCCAUGCCGCGUGCAGGAAGACUGCCCUAUGGGUUGUAAACUGCUUUUGUCCAGGAAUAAACCUAAAUACGAGUAUUUAGCUGAAUGUACUGGAAGAAUAAGGAUCGGCUAACUCCGUGCCAGCAGCCGCGGUAAUACGGAGGAUCCGAGCGUUAUCCGGAUUUAUUGGGUUUAAAGGGUGCGUAGGCGGCCUAUUAAGUCAGGGGUGAAAUACGGUGGCUCAACCAUCGCAGUGCCUUUGAUACUGAUGGGCUUGAAUCCAUUUGAAGUGGGCGGAAUAAGACAAGUAGCGGUGAAAUGCAUAGAUAUGUCUUAGAACUCCGAUUGCGAAGGCAGCUCACUAAGCUGGUAUUGACGCUGAUGCACGAAAGCGUGGGGAUCGAACAGGAUUAGAUACCCCUGUAGUC